rnacentral:lncRNA from 1 species
UUCUGCGACGAGCCCGCCUGAGCCCGGCCCUUCGGCCUGUCCCGGAGGGCCGGGGCGGGGGGCGUCCGAAGGUCGGGGGCCUCUUUUUGUCCCCCUGGGCUUCUGCCACCGGGCCAGGGACUGAGGGGACGGGGCGCGGGGAGCGCUGUGUCCCGGCGGGGCUGGCCUCCGCCCCAACCCCGGAUCUGCAGGCGAGAGGGGAGAGCUUCGGCUCGGUAGAUUGGGAGCACGUCAGAAGCGCCGCGACCACCCUUUUUUUUUCCCCCCCGCUGGCUGCGGAGUUCCCUCGUCAGCACGCGCCCUAUAAGGCCGGGGAAGCAGCUUCAGGGGGUCCUGAUUCUUUGAAGAUGAUGAGUCACAGGUUGGCUUGAAGCCACAGGACUUAAGUAUCACAAUCUGAUGAAGUUAAAGUAGAGAAAUAUCUGAACUUUUAAGAUUCCUGUUAUAUCCAGGAAUAUUUGGGAAGAGUAACAGCUCGGAAGUGCUACCGCUGAGUCAUUAGAGAGCUUUUGAGUUGUGUUUGCAUAAAGAUGAGUAUUAUCACCCUUUUCAAGGGCACCCAAGCAGAACAAACACUACCAGGAAGCGAGGCCUGCAAUCCUUCACUUGUCAGGGUGGGAACUGAAAAAAACAUUGAACUACUGGUGGAGUUUUAUUCCAGCACCCCAACAAGAUACAGCAGGGAAGUGGAAAUUAAGAGACAAAAUUGUUCUUAUACCUUGGGAAAGGUGAGAACUGGAAAGAAGGAAGAAAGGAGCUGACUGAACUAAGCACAGCAUAGUAAUUAGCUCAAAGAAAGUAAGUCAUGAGAUGGGAUUCAGCCAGAAAAUUCAUAAGCAAAGCACGAUAUUAGGCCUCUAAAAAAUAUAUGGGUCCUUGACCUACCUCUUAGUUGUCAGUGACAUUUGUCAUAGCAAGUACAAUAUAUGUCAGAAUGUAAAAUCAUGUAUAUGCCAGUAACACUCUAUUAAAUAAAAUUUUGGGCCACCCCGUGGCAUAUGGAGCUCCCCAGCCAGGGAUCAGAUCAGAGCCACAGUCUCAACCUAAGCCACAGCUGCAGCAAUGCCGGAUCCCUAACCCACUGUGCUGGGCCAGGGAUUAAACCAAGACACUGCCAAUCCCAUUGUACCACAGCCGGAGCUCCUAAAUA